GGAUGUGCGUGUCAUGUGAUGGCACAGCUGAACAUAGAUUGCUUUGAAAACCCUUCUGGCUAAGCAGAUCUGUCCAGUGUCGUGUCACACGUUGGCUUUCUAGAAGCACUCAGCUGGUCUCGUAUCCUCUGCGGUACGAUCGAACGGCACCGAGCAGCUACUCGACCGCCGCGGAAGCCCAUUAGAGCAUCUAUAAGACGUAAAAAGUUCACAUCCAUAUAACCGGCGCUACAGACCGUAGCAUGCCAGUUUUUUG
rnacentral:snRNA from 1 species